rnacentral:rRNA from 1 species
GGGCCCGCACAAGCGGUGGAGUAUGUGGUUUAAUUCGAUGAUACGCGAGGAACCUUACCAGGGCUUAAAUGCAGAACGACAGAGGUGGAAACACCUCCUUCUUCGGACGGUCUGCAAGGUGCUGCAUGGUUGUCGUCAGCUCGUGCUGUGAAGUGUCGGGUUAAGUCCCAUAACGAGCGCAACCCCUAUUUCUAGUUGCCAGCGGUUCGGCCGGGGACUCUAGAGAAACUGCCAGCGUAAGCUGUGAGGAAGGUGGGGAUGACGUCAAAUCAUCACGGCCCUUACGUCCUGGGGCUACACACGUGCUACAAUGGUAGGGACAGAGAGUUGCCAACCCCGCGAGGGUGAG